rnacentral:SRP_RNA from 1 species
GCCGGGUGUGGCGGUGUGCGCCUGUCAUCCCAGCUACUUGGGAGGCUGAGGCAGGAGAAUCGCUUGAACCCAGGAGGCAGAGGUUGCAGUGAGCUGAGAUCACACCACUGCACUCCAGCCUGGGUGACAGAGCGAGACUCUGUCUCAA